rnacentral:sRNA from 1 species
CCCGCGCUGACAGUGUCCCUGGGUCUCCGCGCUUGUCCCGCCGGCCCCGGCCUCGCCGCCCCGCGCAGUGCCCAGCCCGGCCCUGCCGACCCGCUUCUACCGCUGGCUCCGCGCCCUUCCCCGAGGGCUGGAUGAUGGGCUCUUUCGCCCUGCAAACGGUGGACACCGAGCUGACCGCGGACUCGGUGGAGUGGUGCCCGCUGCAAGGCUGCAGGCACCUGCUGGCGUGCGGGACCUACCAGCUGCGGCGGCCGGAGGACCGGCCUGCCGGCCCCCAGAACAAGGUGUCACAUCCCGGUGGGUGGACAUGCCCUCUUGGGCUUGGCAGAUGCCAGUGGAUCCAUACAACUGCUCCGCCUGGUGGAAUAUGAGGUCAGUGACUUGCACUUGUUCUGUGGGGCAGAAGGGACUUGAAUAGAGAGGGUUGGGGAGGAGGCUGUGCUGAUAAAGACAUUUUUCUAGAACGAUCUCUCUUUAAUGGUGAGCUAUAUAUAAACGUUCUAAGAUAACGUGAAGUCUAUUUUUAAGUUGUAUUGCAUUCUACAUCCAACUCCAAGAGGAAGUCACCUCAUGUGUCACUAUAAGGGCUGAAGUGACAGGAUGUUCACUGACCUGUCAGUGAAUCUGAAAGUUCUCCAAUGACAGCCUGGGCAAGCAUUCUUAGGUUGAUGCUGGGGCCCAGAGUAGCAGUGAGCAUUCUGUGUGAAGAUGGCGUUUCUCACUGAUUAUUGGAAAAGCUUGUGAGUCCUGUGUGAAUUUUUCCGGGUUUCUCACAGUGCUCCGGAGCCAUGCAUUAGCAAAGUGACUUCAUCUGAUAGCUGUCAGGGAGGAGAACGGGGAUGUCCCAUAGUGGGGUGAUGUAAACAGCCUGAGACCACGCCCUCACUCCGAUGCGGAUGCUGCAGGCGGGGCUGGGCCAACCGAGGGCCUGUAUAGGAAAGGGCCUUGCUUAAGGCAGCUUAGAGCAGUUGCCCUGUCUUAGAAAGGAGGGAAAGA